GACGAACGCUGGCGGCGUGCUUAACACAUGCAAGUCGAGCGGUAAGGCCCUUUCGGGGGUACGACGAGCGGCGAACGGGUGAGUAACACGUGGGUGACCUGCCCUCAGCUCUGGGAUAAGCCUGGGAAACCGGGUCUAAUACUGGAUAUGACUCCAUGACGCAUGUUGUGGGGUGGAAAGCCUUGUGCGGCUGAGGAUGGGCCCGCGGCCUAUCAGCUUGUUGGUGGGGUGAUGGCCUACCAAGGCGACGACGGGUAGCCGGCCUGAGAGGGCGACCGGCCACACUGGGACUGAGACACGGCCCAGACUCCUACGGGAGGGCAGCAGUGGGGAAUCUUGCGCAAUGGGCGAAAGCCUGACGCAGCGACGCCGCGUGAGGGAUGAC
rnacentral:rRNA from 1 species